AUGGGCACGACUUUUGGAAGCUCCAAGCUGCAGGAUGAGCAAUACUACAAGCAUUUGGAUGAUGAAAGGAAGUAUUUCUUGGUGCUUAUGUUGGGUGAUUUCGAAGAUGCGAUGAUGAUCCCAGAAGAAGUUGUGCGGCGUUUCAAAGGUGAGAUUCCAGGAGAGAUCAAGCUAGAAACCCGAAAUGGUUACAGUCACGCUAUUGUGGUUGCCAAGAACCAAGAAAAGCUUGUCUUUACGGUGGGUUGGCGACAGUUUGUUGAAAUCUAUGAUCUACAGAUUGGUGAUUCCUUAAUGUUCAGAUACAAAGGGAACUGUCAGUUUAAUGUCAUGAUCUUUGAUAAGCAUGGUCGUGAAAAAGCAUUAUCGGUUGUUCUGGAUCCUUUUUUGCAUCCGGUCCAAGACAGGAGCAAUGAGGCACAUGAAAUCGGGUCUUCUAAAAAGAUGGAUGUGCCUUGGGAAAGAUGCAAGAGCCGGACUGAAUAUCACUAUGCAAACUUGGAUGAUGAGAAGAAAUAUUUCUCGGUGCAUAUGAUGGGCGAUUUUCAACAUGAGAUGAUCAUCCCAGAAGAGUUUGUUCAGCGUUUCAAGGGUGAAUUCCCAAGAGAGAUGAUACUUGAAACACAAAAUUGCCGCAGUUACGUAAUUGGAGUUGCCAAGAACAAUGGAAAUCUUGUCCUUACAGUGGGAUGGGGGAAAUUUGUUGGGACCUUUGGUCUAGAGAUGGGUGACACCAUAGUAUUCAGAUACAUUGGGAACUCUCGGUUUAAUGUCAUAAUCUUUGAUGAACUUGGCUGUGAGAAGGUAUCAUCAGUUUAUGUGGAUCCUUCUCCGCCUCCUGUGCAAGAAAGGUGA
rnacentral:rRNA from 1 species